rnacentral:misc_RNA from 1 species
UCCGGUUUGUCACCGGCAGUCUCCUAUGAGUCCCCAACUGAAUGAUGGCAACAUAGGACAAGGGUUGCGCUCGUUGCGGGACUUAACCCAACAUCUCACGACACGAGCUGACGACAGCCAUGCAGCACCUGUGUUCCCGUUCCCUUUCGGGCACAGCCGGGUUUCCCCAGCCUCCAGGACAUGUCAAGGGUAGGUAAGGUUUUUCGCGUUGCAUCGAAUUAAUCCACAUAAUCCACCGCUUGUGCGGACCCCCGUCAAUUCCUUUGAGUUUCAACCUUGCGGUCGUACUCCCCAGGUGGCUCACUUAACGGUUUCCCUUGGACGCACGACCUCUAGGGCCACACGUCGAGUGAGCAUCGUUUAGGGCGUGGACUAC